rnacentral:rRNA from 1 species
GAAGCCGGAAUUGCUGUAAUGGCAGGUCAGCAUACUGCCGUGAAUACGUUCCCGGGCCUUGUACACACCGCCCGUCACACCAUGAGAGUUGGGAAUACCCGAAGCCUGUGAGCUAACUUUUAGAGGCAGCAGUCGAAGGUAGAAUCAAUGAUUGGGGUGAAGUCGUAACAAGGUAAC